rnacentral:rRNA from 1 species
UACGGGGGGGGCAAGCGUUGUUCGGAAUUACUGGGCGUAAAGGGCGCGUAGGCGGCCUUGCAAGUGACGGGUGAAAUCCCUCGGCUUAACCGAGGAACUGCCUGUCAAACUGCAUGGCUUGAGACCGGGAGAGGUGAGUGGAAUUCCCAGUGUAGCGGUGAAAUGCGUAGAUAUUGGGAGGAACACCGGUGGCGAAGGCGGCCCUCUGGACCGGUACUGACGCUGAUGCGCGAAAGCGUGGGGAGCAAACGGG